AUGUCAACACUGAGCUUGGCCGGAAGUGGUGCUUGUUCCUUGCUGGCACAUGACGACACGUUCAAAUUCUAGACAGAACUAUUGAGACAGCAAACUCCUCUUUUGACGCAACGACCCAAGUAGCCCGAGAUUGAGUUCCAAACAUUUGGAGAGAUGGACAGUCACAGAAGGGGUACGCCAUGGGGAAAGCUGGUCAAAGUGGAUUCCAGUGACGCCGAAGUGCUGCUUUUCAACAGAGAAUGCACCAUUGGCCGUAAAAAAGGAUGUGAUUUGGCCUUUCCUGCCAAUAAACUGGUCUCAGGGGAGCACUGCAAGAUUGUGCAAGAUGAAAACUCAGGGCAAGUGUGGCUUGAAGACAUGAGCACCAAUGGUACAGUGAUCAACAUGGCCACACUGGUCAAAAAACAAACUCACAUGCUCCAAAAUGGUGAUGUCAUCUACUUUGUAUACAGGAAAAAUGAGCCUGAACAAAAUAUUGCGUAUGUUUAUCACGCAAUCAAAACAGAGGAAGGUAUUUUGCAAGAUCGUCACGACUUGUCAGCCCACAGUCCUUCUGCUCUCACAUCCACCGAGAUGACGUUGUCUGUGGAGCCUGUCAUGCUCACAAAAGCUCCUUGGCAUCUUAAUCAGGAAGAACCUCAGCCAUCCACCUCUACUUCCGACCUCUGUUUUCAGCUGCCUUUUACACCCGGACCCCUGUCAGCCAGAGCAUGUCUAAACUCUGGUAGCCAAUCUAGAGAUGAGGCUGAAGGACGUGAGAAAUCACUGAACAAUUUGGAGCCAGAAUGCAAGAAGCGAAAAACUGAGACCGCACUCUCAUCCAGCACAGAGCUAACGCCACCAACCUUGGCCUCAACUGGAAGUCUUUUGGUCCCAGCGCCAGCAGAAGAGACCAAGACAGAUAAGAUGGAGGAAUCACUGACAUGUAUUAUUUGCCAGGAACUCUUGUAUGACUGUGUCAGCUUGCAACCCUGCAUGCACACAUUCUGUGCUGCCUGCUACUCUGGCUGGAUGGAGCGAUCUUCUCUUUGUCCUACAUGCCGCUGCCCUGUGGAAAGGAUCCGUAAGAACCAUAUCCUCAACAACCUGGUGGAGGCCUACCUCAUCCAACACCCUGAAAAGUGUCGUAGUGAGGAGGACAUGAAGAGCAUGGACAGCCGCAACAAGAUCACUCAGGACAUAUUGCAGCCAAAAGUUGAGCGUUGUUUCUCUGAUGAGGAGGGCAGCUCUGAUUACCUUUUUGAGCUCUCUGACAAUGACAGCGACUCCUCUGAUAUUAGUCAGCCUUUAGUGAUCUGCAGACAGUGUCCAGGUUACAGGAGAGACGUCAGUCAGAUGCUGUUUGCCAACUUUGCCACAGGCUCAAACUGCUGGGUUCCAGGUCUGCCAGUUCCACCUCCUAUGCCUCCUCCUCUUCCACCUCCAAUCAAACCAGCUGCAGAUGAAGGCUCUGUGAAGUCCAUUGGGGAAGAGCCCUCAACCUCUUCUGACAACCCAUCAGCUCCUCUAGAGUACCGCUGUCAACCUCUGGGCUGCCAUCUCAUUUGUACCUGCUGCCUGCGGCCAAUGCCAGACAGACGGGCUGAGUUGAUCAGCCAGCAACAUUGUGUGCAGUGCCAGCGUCCUUUCUGUCAUAUUUAUUGGGGUUGCCAGAGGAUUGGCUGUCAAGGCUGCCUUGCUCGAUUCAGUGAGCUUAAUCUGACUGACAAAUGUCUGGAUGGUGUACUGAACAACAAUAACUACGAAUCAGAGAUCCUCAAGAACUAUUUGUCUUCUAGAGGCAAGACAUGGAGGGAUCUACUCAAGGAAGCUGUUAAUGACUUGCAACAGGGGAAAUAUUGCCUUCCAUAUCGCCAUAUGUCUGCAAAUACAAUCCUUUGUAUGUGCUGCGGCCUGAUGGUGUUCAAGGAGCUGGCGUACAAGUACAGACAGAAUAUUCCUCAGUCUGAACUACCAGAACACCUCACCUGGGAGGCGUCCAGGAGGCAUCCUAAUCAGAUACCCGAGCCACCUCAUCUUGCUCCUCUCAAUUUGGAGGAGCAACGGCUCUACUCUGAGCCCCUCCCGGAUGACCGUGCUUCUCACCCUAUCUCUAAGGGAGAGCCCGGACACCCUGCGGCUGAAACUUAUUUCGGCCGCUUAUCUUAUUCUUUGGGUCACCACCCACAGGUCGUGACUAUAGGUGAGGAUAGGAACGUAGAUUGACGGGUAAAUUGAGAGCUGCCAAACUGGACACCCUUUACGCCUCGGCAGCGCCUAGAAAUUUUGUCCAUAACAGUUAGGAACGGUGACAAAGGGCAGCCUUGGCGCAGUCCAACCCUCACCGCAAACGAGUCCGACUUACUGCCGGCAAUGCGGACCAAACUCUGACACUGGGCGUACAGGGACCAAACAGGUUCUGUACUCCAUACUCCCGAGGCACGCCCCGCAAGACUCUCGGAGGGACACUGUCGAACGCCUUCUCCGAGUCCACUAAACACAUGUAGACUGGUUGGGUGAACUCCCAUACACCCUCAAGGACCCUCCCGAGGGUGUAGGAGAGCCCACCUCAGAGAUCCCAGACUCUGCAUCCUCAUGGGAAGGCGUGUCGGGGGAAUUGAGGAGGUCUUCGAAGUAUUCUCCCCACUGACUCGCAACGUCCCGAGUCGGUCAACAGCGCUCCAUACGCAAGGAAUUUUGUGUUGUAACUCAUGACUUAGCCAAUCAAAUUGUUUCUUCAGAGCAGCUAGCUGUGCACAUGCAUCUCUGUAUAAUAUUAUACUGUUAUAUUUGAAUGCUUUGAUACAGACGUAGUCAUAAUUUUGGCGCCUGCCUAAUCAUGGCUAUUACAAAUGAGUCGAUACUCAGAUUGUGAUACCCAUUCAAACAUGACGUUAUAAAAGAUGUUUUUAUUGGUUGUUUGGCUACAUCCUUAAAACAUUACUUGCAGUAGAACACCGCAAAUGUAGGAACAUACGUUUUCAUCUGAACCUGCCGAAAUGUCAUUAAUAUAAUUGAUGGACAAAUUAAUGAGUCAACCACAGACUUGAAUGACAAAUGGGGACUUUUAGUAUUUCAUACAACAAGCCAACAAAUUAACCCUAAGGACUUUAAAUGUCUUUUCUUUUUUUUUUCAAGAUGUCACCCCAUAGCCACCAAACAUGAUAAUAUUCAAUGUUUAGGCUUUGUUCGUGUUUGUAUAAAUAAAUGAUAUACAUUUAUUGAACUUUUGUCCAAAGACACCAGCCAUAAAGAAAAGCAAGUUGAACAUCAAACAGCCGUAGCAUACACAGGAAGUCAGCUAACCCUUUUUCCAGGUUUGGUCACGUGACGUUCCGCAUAUAGCGGAUUCAACUGCUCCUAAGAGACCACUAGAAUACAAUACAAGGCGUCCUCGGUUUGUGACGUUUUCAGAUUAGGCCGAAUGAACGUAUUUGCGCAGUGCCGUGUAAACACGCUUUUACGCAGCACAAGAAGGAAGUUACAGCCAUCCUUCCUAUUUUUUAUUUGAGUGUUUUAUUUAUGGCUUAAAUAUUUUUCAUAUAAAUAAUUAUUAUAAUUAUGACUUUACAACAACAUUAGUGUAGGUUAGUGAUACAUUAUAGUACGCUGUUGCAAACCAAGGAUCCAAGGAUAUAUUUUUAUACUUGUGCAAGUUUGUCACUUAAAACAGUGAUUCCCAACCAUUAGUGUGCUGUGAGAACUCUUCAAGUGUGCCGUGGGAAAUUAUCAAAUUUAACUUUUUGUUAGUCAGAAAAUUAUUUCUUUACUCUUCAUCUAUCCUGACCAGCGAUGUAUAGUGACAGAACGAAUAAAUGGCAGAAACUGUCAUUGACAUGUAUCGACUUUUUGUAGCAUUUUAGUUUGUUGAUGUGCCAUGAGAUUUUUCAAGUGUAAAAUAUGUGCCUUGGCUCAAUAAAGGUUGAAGGUUAUAACUGACUUAGUUUUUUUUUUUUAACUAUCCAUCCAUUUUCUGAGCCACUUCUCCUCACUAGGAUCGCGGGCGUGCUGGAGCCUAUCCCAGCUGUCAUCGGGCAGGAGGCGGGGUACACCCUGAACUGGUUGCCAGCCAAUCGCAGAGGACAUAGAAACAAACAACCAUGCACACUCACAGUCAUGCCUACGGGCAAUUUAGAGUCUCCAAUUAAUGCAUGUUUUUGGGAUGUUGGAGGAAACCGGAGUGCCCGGAAAAAACCCACGCAGGCACGGGGAGAACAUGCAAACUCCACACAGGCGGGGCCGGGGAUUGAACCCGGGUCCUCAGAACUGUGAGGCUGACGCUCUAACCAGUCGGCCACCGUCCCGCCUUUUUUUAACUUCAUAAGUGCAAUUAUUAUUUUUUUAAAUCUGUGUUUUAGUUCAAUAUUUUUACUGUUUUGGGACUAGACGACUGGAUAUGUACGCUAAUACUGGAACCUCUUAUGUAUCUCUCCCACACUCAGCUGCUGUAUUGUCUCGUCCUGACUGCUACUGGGGACGUAAUUGUCGUACACAGGUGAAAGCCCAUCAUGCAAUGAAAUUCAACCAUAUAUGUGAGCAGAC